rnacentral:rRNA from 1 species
GACGAACGCUGGCGGCGUGCUUAACACAUGCAAGUCGAACGGAAAGGCCUGCUUUCCCUUGUGGAUUGCGGGUACUCGAGUGGCGAACGGGUGAGUGACACGUGAGUGAUCUGCCCCCAACUUGGGUAUAAGCCUGGGAAACUGGGUCUAAUUCCCGAUAGGACUGCAGGGUGGUGCCUGUUGUGGAAAACGAUUUUCUAGUGGUUGGGGAUGAGCUCGCGGCCUAUCAGCUUGUUGGUGGGGUAAUGGCCUACCAAGGCGGCGACGGGUAGCCGGCCUGAGAGGGUGGACGGCCACAGUGGGACUGAGACACGGCCCAGACUCCGACGGGAGGCAGCAGUGGGGAAUAUUGCACAAUGGGCGGAAGCCUGAUGCAGCGACGCCGCGUGGGGGAUGACGGCCUUCGGGUUGUAAACUCCUUUCGACCGAGAGGAAGCCACCUGGUUGGAAGGGUGGUGACGGUAGUGGUAGAAGAAGCACCGGCUAACUACGUG